CAACUACUCCCUCUGUCCCAAAUUUCUUGUCUUAGAUUUGUCUAGAUACGGAUGUAUCUAAUACUAAAAUGUGACUUGAUACAUCCGUAUCUAGACAAAUGUAAGACAAGAAUUUUGGGAUGGAGGGAGUAGUUU
rnacentral:pre_miRNA from 1 species